rnacentral:rRNA from 1 species
GAUGAACGCUGGCGGCGUGCCUAAUACAUGCAAGUCGAGCGAACGGACGAGAAGCUUGCUUCUCUGAUGUUAGCGGCGGACGGGUGAGUAACACGUGGAUAACCUACCUAUAAGACUGGGAUAACUUCGGGAAACCGGAGCUAAUAUCGGAUAAUAUUUUGAACCGCAUGGUUCAAAAGUGAAAGACGGUCUUGCUGUCACUUAUAGAUGGAUCACCGCUGCAUUAGCUAGUUGGUAAGGUAACGGCUUACCAAGGCAACGAUGCAUAGCCGACCUGAGAGGGUGAUAGGCCACACUGGAACUGAGACACGGUCCAGACUCCUACGGGAGGCAGCAGUAGGGAAUCUUCCGCAAUGGGCGAAAGCCUGACGGAGCAACGCCGCGUGAGUGAUGAAGGUCUUCGGAUCGUAAAACUCUGUUAUUAGGGAAGAACAUAUGUGUAAGUAACUGUGCACAUCUUGACGGUACCUAAUCAGAAAGCCACGGCUAACUACGUG